rnacentral:lncRNA from 1 species
CCAGUGCGGAUCAUAGACACCCAGAUCAGAAAGAUGAGAAACAAGGAAAUCCCGAUGGUGAAAGUCCUAUGGAACCACCACAAUAUGGAAGAGUGCACCUGGGAGACACGGGAGUCCAUGCUCCAGCAAUACCCUUAUCUUUUCUAAGGUUAGUUUCUUAUAUGUUUCAUGUGUUUUAUGUGUAUGAUAUGUGUAUGCCAUGCUAUGUGUUAGUUGAGGAACAUUCGGGGACGAAUGUUCUUAAGGGGGGGAGAAUGU